UACGAAGGGGGCUAGCGUUGCUCGGAAUCACUGGCGUAAAGGGGUGCGUAGGCGGGUCUUUUAAGUCAGGGGUGAAAUCCUGGAGCUCAACUCCAGAACUGCCUUUGAUACUGAAGAUCUUGAGUUCGGGAGAGGUGAGUGGAACUGCGAGUGUAGAGGUGAAAUUCGUAGAUAUUCGCAAGAACACCAGUGGCGAAGGCGGCUCACUGGCCCGAUACUGACGCUGAGGCACGAAAGCGUGGGGAGCAAACAGG
rnacentral:rRNA from 1 species